CCUAACACAUGCAAGUCGAACGAGGAAAAAGAACUUCGGUUCUUUUUUCUAGUGGCGGACGGGUGAGUAACGCGUAAGAACCUACCCCUUGGAGAGGGAUAGCCACUGGAAACGGUGAUUAAUACCUCGUAUGCUGAGGAGUGAAAGACCGUAAGGUCGCCAAGGGAUGGGCUUGCGUCUGAUUAGCUAGUUGGGUGGGGUAAAGGCCUCCCAAGGCGAUGAUCAGUAGCUGGUCUGAGAGGACAAUCAGCCACACUGGGACUGAGACACGGCCCAGACUCC
rnacentral:rRNA from 2 species